rnacentral:rRNA from 1 species
GACGGGGGGGCAAGUGUUCUUCGGAAUUACUGGGCGUAAAGCGUGCGCAGGCGGUUCGACAAGUCCGAUGUGAAAGCCCGGGCUCAACCUGGGAAUGGCAUUGGAAACUGGCGAGCUUGAGUGUGGCAGAGGGGGUGGAAGUUCCACGUGUAGCAGUGAAAUGCGUAGAGAUGUGGAGGAACACCGAUGGCGAAGGCAGCCUCCUGGGCCAGCACUGACGCUCAUGCACGAAAGCGUGGGAGCAAACAGG